rnacentral:rRNA from 1 species
UACAGAGGGUGCGAGCGUUAAUCGGAAUUACUGGGCGUAAAGCGUGCGUAGGCGGCCUUCUAAGUCAGACGUGAAAUCCCUCGGCUCAACCGGGGAACUGCGUCUGAGACUGGAAGGCUUGAAUCCGGGAGAGGGAUGUGGAAUUCCAGGUGUAGCGGUGAAAUGCGUAGAUAUCUGGAGGAACACCGGUGGCGAAGGCGGCAUCCUGGACCGGUAUUGACGCUGAGGCGCGAAAGCCAGGGGAGCAAACGGG